GACGAACGCUGGCGGCGUGCUUAACACAUGCAAGUCGAACGGAAAGGCCCUGCUUUUGUGGGGUGCUCGAGUGGCGAACGGGUGAGUAACACGUGAGUAACCUGCCCUUGACUUUGGGAUAACUUCAGGAAACUGGGGCUAAUACCGGAUAGGAGCUCCUGCUGCAUGGUGGGGGUUGGAAAGUUUCGGCGGUUGGGGAUGGACUCGCGGCUUAUCAGCUUGUUGGUGGGUAGUGGCUUACCAAGGCUUUGACGGGUAGCCGGCCUGAGAGGGGGACCGGCCACAUGGGGACUGAGAGACGGCCCAGACGCCUACGGGAGGCAGCAGGGGGGAAUAUUGCACAAUGGGCGGAAGCCUGAUGCAGAAACGCCGCGUGCGGGAUGACGGCCUUCGGGUUGUAAACCGCUGUCGCCUGUGACGAAGCGUGAGUGACGGUAAUGGGUAAAGAAGCACCGGCUAACUACGUG
rnacentral:rRNA from 1 species